CCAAAGGUUUUUUUAAAAACAACCUUUAUUUUCAAGCAAUAAAAU
rfam:Ficedula albicollis isolate OC2 chromosome 2, whole genome shotgun sequence.